rnacentral:rRNA from 1 species
UACAGAGGUGGCGAGCGUUAUUCGGAAUUAUUGGGCGUAAAGGGCGCGUAGGCGGCCCUGUAUGUCAACGGUGAAAUCCCUCGGCUCAACCGAGGACGUGCCGUUGAUACUGCAGGGCUCGAGGCCGGGAGAGGGUAGUGGAAUUCCCAGUGUAGCGGUGAAAUGCGUAGAUAUUGGGAGGAACACCGGUGGCGAAGGCGGCUACCUGGACCGGUUCUGACGCUGAGGCGCGAAAGCGUGGGGAGCAAACAGG